rnacentral:rRNA from 1 species
GACGAACGCUGGCGGCGUGCUUAACACAUGCAAGUCGAACGGAAAGGCCUCUUUCGGGGGGUACUCGAGUGGCGAACGGGUGAGUAACACGUGAGUAACCUGCCCUUGACUUUGGGAUAACUUCAGGAAACUGGGGCUAAUACCGGAUAGGAGCUCCUGCUGCAUGGUGGGGGUUGGAAAGUUUCGGCGGUUGGGGAUGGACUCGCGGCUUAUCAGCUUGUUGGUGGGGUAGUGGCUUACCAAGGCUUUGACGGGUAGCCGGCCUGAGAGGGUGACCGGCCACAUUGGGACUGAGAUACGGCCCAGACUCCUACGGGAGGCAGCAGGGGGGAAUAUUGCACAAGGGGUGGAAGCCGGAUGCAGCAACGCCGUGUGCGGGAGGACGGCCUUCGGGUUGGAAACCGCUUUCGCUCAUGACGAAGCUUUGUGUGACGGUAGUGGGUAAAGAAGCACCGGCUAACUACGUG